rnacentral:rRNA from 1 species
CCUACGGGAGGCUGCAGUAAGGAAUAUUGGGCAAUGGACGAGAGUCUGAACCAGCCACGUAGCGUGAAGGAUGACUGCCCUAUGGGUUGUAAACUUCUUUUAUAUGGGAAUAAAAUGUUCCACGUGUGGGAUUUUGUAUGUACCAUAUGAAUAAGGAUCGGCUAACUCCGUGCCAGCAGCCGCGGUAAUACGGAGGAUCCGAGCGUUAUCCGGAUUUAUUGGGUUUAAAGGGAGCGUAGGUGGAUUGUUAAGUCAGUUGUGAAAGUUUGCGGCUCAACCGUACAAUUGCAGUUGAAACUGGCAGUCUUGAGUACAGUAGAGGUGGGCGGAAUUCGUGGUGUAGCGGUGAAAUGCUUAGAUAUCACGAAGAACUCCGAUUGCGAAGGCAGUUCACUGGACUGCAACUGACACUGAGGCUCGAAAGUGUGGGUAUCAAACAGGAUUAGAUACCCGGGUAGUC